UGAACAGAGCCAGGGAAGAGCAGGG
rnacentral:piRNA from 1 species